rnacentral:lncRNA from 1 species
GAGAGCCUGGCUAGGCAGGCUGGAAACAGUAGCUCUUAACGGUCCCCCGCCCGUUGGUGGCAAGGCGGCUGGACUGGAAUCCCAGCAGGCGACAUGCGAGGAGGCGGGCAGCCCAGGAGGGUUGGACACGGCAAUGUGGACCUCGCCGCUUCCACAACGAUGCUGGCUACUGAUCGCGUGCACUUCCUUGCCAAAGAAAAGAAAUUAAUGUUAUGACUGGAUGAAGACAAUUGUGAAGAAACUGCACUUUGAGGUUGUCUAUCUCUGUAUUCUGAUGGAAAAGCGUGGAGUUUAGAAGCACUGCUCACUCCUUCAGUUUCUAACAAGUUUGAGACUAUGGUUAGGUGGUGAGGAAGGCAGGCUCAGCACCCAAGCCUUGGGGAGACGCAGAAAGGGCCCAUCCCAGGCACUCAGGUGGAGAAAUUCACUGGUAUAGGUUUCCCUCAAAACACUGCUUUCACCAGUUUCCGUGGUCUGUCCUAGAGAACGUUCCAUGUGGAUUUGAGAAGAAUAUAUAUUCUCAUGUUGGAUGCAGUGCUGUGCAUAUGUUUGUUAGGUUUAGUUGUUUUAUGUUGUUGUUCAUGUUUUCUAUUUUUUAUCUUCUGUCUACUUGUUCUAUCCAUUAAUAUAAGUGAAGCAUUAAAGUCUCCAACUAUUACUGUUGAA